rnacentral:rRNA from 1 species
GAAAGUUACUUCGGUACAUCGGUGACAGGUGGUGCAUGGUUUGUCGUCAGCUCGUGUCGUGAGAUGUUGGGUUAAGUCCCGCAACGAGCGCAACCCCUAUUGUUAGUUGCCAUCAUUCAGUUGGGCACUCUAGCGAGACUGCCGGUAAUAAACCGGAGGAAGGUGGGGAUGACGUCAAAUCAUCAUGCCCCUUAUGACCUGGGCUACACACGUGCUACAAUGGUUGGUACAACGAGUUGCGAGUCGGUGACGGCAAGCUAAUCUCUUAAAGCCAAUCUCAGUUCGGAUUGUAGGCUGCAACUCGCCUACAUGAAGUCGGAAUCGCCAGUAAUCGCGGAUCAGCACGCCGCGGUGAAUACGUUCCCGGGCCUU